UUUUUCCACAUUGGUCUCGCUGUAGGUCCUCCAUUUUGAGAGCUAUGGGACUGCACACACAAUUUAGAAAAGAAUGAACACUAAAGAAGCUCGAAUCCAGUAGGAGGCAGCAUUGCAAUAUCAAGGAUGCCAGCUGCCGUAAAACUCGUAAGAAGAAGGGUCCUGAAAGUUUAGUUGUAGAAUUUCAAGAUGGAAGAUGGCGCCGGUGUUUCUGCUACACAGGGCACAGAAUGGUGAAGGGAUGUCUGAGGGUGUCAAGCCACAGAGCGCAGUGGUUGGGAGUAUGGGAUUCCAUGUACCGUGUGGUCUUGGGGUGUGUUCUGAGAAGGACCAUCAGUGUUGUGGGCCCCCUGUCACUCCUACACCAACACCAACUGCAGGUUGAGCAGGAUUGAAAGCCUGUGGUUUGAUGUUUGGAAGGUGUCAAAUGUGGAUCAUCAUCUACAGCCUUGAGGAGGACAGACUACUAGAUCAAACAAACUGCCCCACAUCCAAGCUGUUAUAGACGUGUUCCUUGAAGGAUGGAACAAUGCUAUGCCCCGAAUCAGCUGUGGGAAAUUGGGAAGACUCCAGGUCCUGUCAACCCUCCUAAGAACAUUGAGCGGGGCCGGUUCCCAGAUCUGGACAUUUUGCACAUUGAUCACGUGACAGUAGAUUCUUCAACUGGUAUUUCCCCUGGACAGUGAAGAACUGGAGGCCCUGAUCUAAUCCCUUGUCUUAAUGUUCAAAAGUUGCAAAGGAGACAGUUUAACUUAAUAAAACUAAAUUGAAUUAAAAUUUACAUAUCAAGUUGGACUGGACAAGGUACAUGUCGGGUGUGCUCAGCAAAAAUCCAAACAAAGAGCCUUCACA